UACGGAGGGUGCAAGCGUCGUUCGGUAUGACUGGGCGUAAAGAGCACGUAGGCGGAUUUGCAAGUAGGAUGUGAAAGCCCUGGGCUUAACCCAGGAAUGGCACCCUAAACUACAAAUCUUGAAUGCUUGAGAGGUUGGUGGAAUUCCAGGUGUAGGAGUGAAAUCCGUAGAUAUCUGGAGGAAUAUCGGAGGCGAAGGCGGCCAACUGGUGUUGCAUUGACGCUGAGGUGCGAAAGCGUGGGGAGCAAACAGG
rnacentral:rRNA from 1 species